rnacentral:lncRNA from 1 species
AUCGAAAAAUCGACGUGCUGCUGAAAAUAAUGUUAAUGUUGAUCGAUCAUACUACCCCAAACUAGCAAACCGGCCCUAUGAUAUCAGUAACGGAGAGCAAGUAUUUUAGUCUAAUUUGUGUCAUGGCUUGCGUUUGAUCUAUUGCUCUCUUAUGCUUCCAUUAAUUUAAGUUCCAUUUUCUCUAGUGCUUGCUUUCAAAUUCCCAAAACCCCAGUAUCGGUAAGGGUAUAAAAUGUUCAUGCAUGUUUAGUUCUUUGUUAUGGAUGUCUAACUUUAAAAGUUUUGGUUCCGUAGCAGAUUCUCUAAAUUGGCUCCUCAACCAUUUUAGUGAGCUUGUUCAGUUUUUUUUAAUUAAUUUUACCAGCUCAAGCAAACUCUUAAAAUGUUAAAUUAAUAUUAUUCUUCAAAUGAAGAUUAAAUAGUUUAAAUGUAUUUAUAUAUCACAUAAUUUUUUUUAAAAGAAAUGUAUUAGAUUAUAAAGAGACUCAUCUCGAUCGCUCUUUAUAUUUAGAGAGCGAAAUAACUAAAAGUUAAAAUACAGAUCCUCAUCUCACUCAUCUCGUUUAAGAUAUAAGGUUUGGGGUUGUAGAAGCCUUAAGAUGAUUAAAAACUUGUUGCCGAUGCUCAUGUCGAUGUGGCUGUGAGAAAGACGAUGGAAUAGAGAGGGCGCCGGGGCACACAUGCGAUUUGAAUUGUAAUCAUUAUUAUUAUUAUUAUUAUUAUUAUUAUUAUUAUUAUUAUUAUUAUAUUGUUGGAUUUGGCAAGUUGAAGUGAUGAGACCAUUUUAACCCUGUAAAGUUAAUGGAUUUAAUGCCGUUAGUUGUUUCAGAUACUAAAGUUGGGUCGGGCUAAAAUUGAGAUACCCUUUUGAUAUUUUUUAAAGUUAAAAUCUUUAACAUAAUAGUUAGGCGAAGUUGAGAUAUCGUUUGUAUGAUUUUCUCUAUAUAACUAUAAAUUUACCUAGAAAUUAUGAAAAGACACAUUGCGCCCACUACUUCAAAAUCAAUAUGUUUUCUUAAAACCAAGAAGAUUACUUCUUGACUGCUUAUCAAAAAUAUAUCUCUUCCUAGCAAUUCCAGCCUUUCCAAGAACCACCACUCCUAACAGUUCGCCUUUCCAAGAGCCUCUUGCAAAGGAAACAAAAACUGUGAUUUCGUCAUGAUUCAGAAUUCAUCGUAGAAUAAAGGAGACGAAACCCACCAUAAUCCGGCCGGGAUCUCAUCUUUCUGCUCCCCAUUUGUAAUUCUCAUAAUCCAAAGAUCAAGUUCGUUCACAACCAUCUAUGUUGAUAAAAGGGUUUUCUAAGGUUGAGAAUUGAAGGGAUAUAUUGGUUGAGAAUUGAAGAAAUAUUUUAGGGUUUAGCUGGUUUCGCUAGGGCGAGUUAUAGGUUCGAAGAAACUUAGGAAAGCGCAACUUAACACCAUCUGAGUUUGGUGGUCUCGUUGUUCUCUUCCUAAUGAGCUGCAUGUGGAUGUUGAUCUUAACCCCUUAAAGACAUCUCCAACCAUUGACCUAAAACCUAAACCCAACUUCAAAUUUUAGGCCACUCACACAUAUUAUUGUUAUUCAUAGGUUUUGCAUCUCCAACCCAUGAAACCUAAACAUAAAGUUAUUAUUGUUAUUUAUUACUUUAUAUUAUUAUUCAAGUACUAUAUGAAUUUAAACCUUAAACAUAAUUGAUAGUGGAUAGUGGGCUCCAUGCUCCACUAAGCUCUUGAAAAAUAAGAUCCAGCCCCCUCUAACUAGUUGUCAUAAUAUGACAUUUUUUAGGUAAAUCCUAUUUUAGAUCAAAUUGAAUUGUAUUGGGAGAUGAUAUUUUGGAAAACUCAACCCUAUUUAGGGGGUAUUUGAUCCGCGGGACUACACGGGAUUGGACUGGAUUAUAUUGUAUAAUGAGACAUAGCCGGUGUUUGGUGGAAAUGAGAUUAUUUUUAAUGGACUUCGUAAACCCUGAGACGUCUCGAUACUGUCUUCCAGAACGACCUAAAAAUUGGUGGGUUUGUAGAAGCCUUUGUCAUAGACGUUGAAAUUCACGCGCCCAUUGUUUUUUUCUCCCCGCCUUCUCAGUCUAUCUCUCAACUUUUUAAUCUCUUCUCAUCGAUUAGUUGUAUAAAAAGAUUUCUGAUCGUUUAAUCAUCAAUUUCUCCAUCAAUCACCAUCUUCGUCUCUCUCCAAAUUAGUUAAAGAUCGGCCGUUACAGCUUCUGACUCCAUCUCAUAAUAUAAAUUACCCAGAAGUGAGAUCCGGAGAACAAAGGAACACCCCAACUAUUAUGAAUGAAAGAGAGGAAGCCCAGAUAGAUAAUAUUAGAUUGUAAGUUUUAUUCCAGAAUUAUUGAUUUGAUUUCGUUCUUACUUCUCCUUUCUAUUUCUUUCCUUAUUCUUUUUCCUCGGCAAUGCUAUAAGUUCGUUCUGGUAAACUGAAUUAUGGGCUGAUCUUGAUUGGAUUGGGAGGACCCAAAUGAUUUGAUUUUGCCAUCUUGUAAGUUGCAAGAUGUUUGUUUCAUAUUUUAGAUUGCGAUUUGGUGCAUGUCAAAGAAGGAAAAAGAGAUAUGGAUUU